AAUUGACGGGGGCCCGCACAAGCGGUGGAGCAUGUGGUUUAAUUCGAUGCAACGCGAAGAACCUUACCUGGUCUUGACAUCCACGGAAGUUUUCAGAGAUGAGAAUGUGCCUUCGGGAACCGUGAGACAGGUGCUGCAUGGCUGUCGUCAGCUCGUGUUGUGAAAUGUUGGGUUAAGUCCCGCAACGAGCGCAACCCUUAUCCUU
rnacentral:rRNA from 1 species